GUCUCUUCCUCUCCUCCUUCUCUCUAGAAUCUUCUAGUUCUUCUCCGAUGGCCUUCACCAUCUCUUCGGCCACUUCCAGCCUCACCUCUUUCGACCACCAGCCGCCGUGAAACCUUAUCUCGCUGAUUUCCUUUAUCUUUGAGGCCCCAAGAGCCUCCACCAUAUGAGAUGGUGACUGAAAGCUUUUCCUGGUCUGCCUUCGGCCUUUCUCCGAUGGGUUUUGGUCUGAUAGUGCCAUGAACACCAUUAUUGCUGAAUUUCACAGCCAAGUUUCUCUUACUUCUCACUAGUUUCUCAUGAAACCCUAAUCGCUACCAGACCUCUUAAAUUUCUGUAUUUUUUUAACGAUUUUAACUCACACCUUUAUGUUUUACACUACUCUC
rnacentral:lncRNA from 1 species